GUGGGGAAUUUUGCGCAAUGGGCGAAAGCCUGACGCAGCAACGCCGCGUGGAGGAUGAAGGUCUUCGGAUCGUAAACUCCUGUCAGUGGGGACGAAUGCUUCGCAAGAAGUUUGACUGUACCCGCUGAGGAAGCCACGGCUAACUCCGUGCCAGCAGCCGCGGUAAUACGGAGGUGGCAAGCGUUGUUCGGAAUUACUGGGCGUAAAGGGCGCGUAGGCGGUUUUGCAAGUCAGAUGUGAAAGCCCCGGGCUUAACUCGGGAAUUGCAUCUGAAACUGCUUAACUUGAGUCCUGGAUGGGGUAGUGGAAUUCCCAGUGUAGCGGUGAAAUGCGUAGAUAUUGGGAGGAACACCUGCGGCGAAGGCGGCUACCUGGACAGUGACUGACGCUGAGGCGCGAAAGCUAGGGGAGCGAACGGGAUUAGAUACCCUUGUAGUCC
rnacentral:rRNA from 1 species